rnacentral:rRNA from 1 species
CCUACGGGUGGCAGCAGUAGGGAAUUUUCGGCAAUGGGGGGAACCCUGACCGAGCAACGCCGCGUGCAGGAAGCAGGAAUUCGUUCUGUAAACUUCUGUUCUAAAGGCAGAAAGACGGAUGGAGGAACUGACAUCCGAGUGACGGUACUUUAUGAGAAAGCCACGGCUAACUCCGUGCCAGCAGCCGCGGUAAUACGUAGGUGGCAAGCGUUAUCCGGAAUUAUUGUGCGUAAAGCGGGAACAGGCGGCAGCAAAGGUCGGUGGGGAAAGACUGAAGCUUAACUGCAGUAAGCCAUAGACACCGGGCAGCUAGAGUGCAGUAGGGGAUCGUGGAAUUCCAUGUGUAGCGGUGAA